rnacentral:sRNA from 1 species
CCCCCUCCGAAAUGUUUUUCUUUCUCUGGAACUCUUCCUAAGGUCCUUUAUACAAAAUCUCUCUGGAUUGGUUCAAUACUCGACCUCGUAUGCCUCAAAAUUCCUCAAACAUCGAUACACAAAAAGCAAUUACAAUCCAAUACACAUAAAUCGCGAUAAAAUACGUUCGCACUAAACUAAGUGAAACACUGCGAAGAUAUUUACGAUUGUGGAACUUGCUGACUCCCGUUUCUGUUGGCUAUUUUCUGUGUAAUUGGCCAUAACUUAAUGCAUAGACUGGUCUGGCACCGAGGGCAUUACGCUUAUCGCCGAAUCGCCCCCGACCGAGGAAAACACACCCCGACAACAAGCCAAACAAAGAGGAGACUGCGGCUCCAGAAGAAUGUCAUUUGAGGGCCAUAAAAGUAAAAGAAAUCUAGCGCACAAAAAACAGGAAGCGAAGAUUGUUGGGCCAAAUCUCGCAUAAACGAACACACCUGAGGACGAAAUGGCCCAAGUUCCCUGGCAGCCCAUCUUUCAAAUUUAAUGUCUAAUUUAAAUGUUGUAAAUACCAA